CUGUGCAAUAUAUUGACUUUAAUAAUAUCAUGUACACUAUUUCAACAAAUUCUAUUUUUAGCUGUGGAAUACUAUCUGCUCGUUAUCAUUGUGAAUUUGCACUUUUUCUACAUGGAGAAAUAAAUCUGUAUUGUAGCAGAACUGUUAUUUUUUUUACUUUUAUAUUAAUUUGUUGAUAAAAUAACGAAUUCAAAAUUAUUUUUUAUAUUUAAUGAAAAAUCCUGAAACAGCGGUGACUCUAAUGAAGUAAGAAAUAAUUAAAAACCAUAUUACAUAAUCUACAAGCAACUCGGAAUUUGAUUUAGGUGAUUUACAGUCUGGUCCAAAAAGAUCCAUAUUAGAGUUAUGUGGAUCUAGAGGUCUUAAAAAUGGAAAACUAACAAAGCAUGAUACUCAUUCUAGUACAAAAAGUCAUUUAACUUGUAAAUAACUGUUAAAAAUCUGACACUGUUCAUACCCAGCUAAUAACUUAAUCUAAACUAGAAGUUGUCGCUAAUAGGAAAUUUAUGAAAAGUAUAAUUAACAUAAUAAUUUUUUGAGUAUGCAAAUGGCCCGACACAAUAAAAAUAAUUCAUCAUUAAAUCAACGUUGGGAACUAAUUUAAGUAAUCUAAUCACCUAAUAAUAACAUAUGCCUAAGUUUUUUGAAAUAUUCAACAAAGAAACAAAUCACAUGAGUCAUCAUAUUCAAAAUUAAAUAAUUGAAAUAUGUGCAAACAGAAUAAGAGAUUCAAUUAUAGAAGACAUUAGUACACAGACUUUUUGAUGAAGCAAGAUGUUAUAAAGAAGAACAAAUGUUUUAUAUUAUUUUAAAACUUGUAAAUUAAAUACUAAAGCUCAAAUAAUUUCACAAUACUAUGUUUAUGUUAACAUCAUGUCUGCUACUUUAAUGAAGUCAAUCAAAAAUUAGAAUUAAAUUUUCAAAAGCGAUUUUUACUCAUUGUAUGUUCAUAGAAUAAAUCUUUUGGUUGCAGAUAUUUGAAAAAAU